GUGACCUACUACAUGCAAGUCGAACGCACAGCGAAGGUGCUUGCACCUUUCAAGUGAGUGGCGAACGGGUGAGUAACACGUGGACAACCUGCCUCAAGGCUGGGGAUAACAUUUGGAAACAGAUGCUAAUACCGAAUAAAACUUAGUGUCGCAUGACACAAAGUUAAAAGGCGCUUCGGCGUCACCUAGAGAUGGAUCCGCGGUGCAUUAGUUAGUUGGUGGGGUAAAGGCCUACCAAGACAAUGAUGCAUAGCCGAGUUGAGAGACUGAUCGGCCACAUUGGGACUGAGACACGGCCCAAACUCCUACGGGAGGCUGCAGUAGGGAAUCUUCCACAAUGGGCGAAAGCCUGAUGGAGCAACGCCGCGUGUGUGAUGAAGGCUUUCGGGUCGUAAAGCACUGUUGUAUGGGAAGAACAGCUAGAAUAGGAAAUGAUUUUAGUUUGACGGUACCAUACCAGAAAGGGACGGCUAAAUACGUGCCAGCAGCCGCGGUAAUACGUAUGUCCCGAGCGUUAUCCGGAUUUAUUGGGCGUAAAGCGAGCGCAGACGGUUUAUUAAGUCUGAUGUGAAAGCCCGGAGCUCAACUCCGGAAUGGCAUUGGAAACUGGUUAACUUGAGUGCAGUAGAGGUAAGUGGAACUCCAUGUGUAGCGGUGGAAUGCGUAGAUAUAUGGAAGAACACCAGUGGCGAAGGCGGCUUACUGGACUGCAACUGACGUUGAGCUCGAAAGUGUGGGUAGCAAACAGGAUUAGAUACCCUGGUAGUCCACACCGUAAACGAUGAACACUACGUGUUAGAGGUUUCCGCCUCUUAGUGCCGAAGCUAACGCAUUAAGUGUUCCGCCUGGGGAGUACGACCGCACGUUGAACUCAAAGAUUGACGGACCCCGCACAGCGUUGAGCAUGUGUUUAAUUCGAGCAACGCGAGGACCUUACCAGGUCUGACAAUCCUUUGA
rnacentral:rRNA from 1 species